rnacentral:rRNA from 1 species
CCUUUAUACACACCGCCCGUCGCUACUACCGAUUAAAUAGCUCAGUGAGGCUUUCGGACUAGCCCGGAAUAGGGGGCGACCCCCGUCCUGGGCCGGAAAGUUAUCCGAACUCGGUCAUUUAGAGG